ACGAAGAACGGCAAAGAGAGAUCUGAUUGCCGCGAUUUGUCGGGAAUUAUGGCCCCGAACAAUGUCAAAGACUAUUACAUUGAAACACGCUAAAGUGGAAAUAAACAACGAGAGCUAAGUGUGUGACCACAUGGAAGGCUGACCCGGCGACAAGCACUGAGCCGUCUCGCAGUCCAUUCGGCCCAGGCGGGUGUCUCCCUCAGCGGGUACACAGGAAGAGUUCAUGAUGAUAUCCGGCAAGAUGGUAACUCGAGGAAAUCUGCAGAUGUUGGAAAUUCAAGCAACACACACAAAAUGCUGGUGGAAUGCAGUAGGCCAGGCAGCACCUAUUGGAAGAGGUACAGUCGACAUUUCAGGCCGAGACCCUUUGUCAGGACUCAUUGUCCGACACUGCCUGUCUAAGCAUUUUCUGCGCCCGUUUUUGAGUUUCACGUUGUGUUGGGAAUAUCCACAUGGGAAGAGAAGAUGCCUUGGAGUUAAAGGGGAUGAAUCCUGUAAAGUCCCCACUACAAUGUCAGCAGGAUGUUUGUUUAUCUGCAUUUCAUGGAUGUGAUUGUGAUGGUCACGUGAUUCAGAGUUGGAGCCUGGAAGUCAUUUGCUGCAGUGAAUUAACAUAUCAACUUGCAUUUCUCUGGGAUGUGGGAGGAAAUCAGAGCACCCAGGGGCAACCAUACAGUCCCAGGCAGUGCCAGACUGCAGGGUUGAACCCAGGUCACUGGAACUUUAAAGCAGCAUCUCUACCCAAAGUCAUUCUCUCUCACGUGACCCAACCAACUACCCUCUAAAAAAUUUGAUGCCCAAAUUCUUUCU